rnacentral:rRNA from 1 species
CCUACGGGUGGCUGCAGUGGGGAAUAUUGCACAAUGGGGGAAACCCUGAUGCAGCGACGCCGCGUGGGUGAAGGAGUAUUUCGGUAUGUAAAGCCCUAUCAGCAGGGAAGAACAAUGACGGUACCUGACUAAGAAGCACCGGCUAAAUACGUGCCAGCAGCCGCGGUAAUACGUAGGGUGCAAGCGUUAUCCGGAUGUACUGGGUGUAAAGGGAGCGCAGGCGGCGCGUUAAGCCUGGUGUGAAAGUCCGGGGCCCAACCGCGGGACUGCAUUGGAAACUGGCGGGCUGGAGUGCAGGAGGGGUAGGCGGAAUGCGUAGUGUAGCGGUGAAAUGCGUAGAUAUGAGGAGGAACACCAGUGGCGAAGGCGGCCUACUGGACGGUGACUGACGCUGAGGCUCGAAAGCGUGGGGAGCAAACAGGAUUAGAUACCCCUGUAGUC